rnacentral:rRNA from 1 species
AUUGAACGCUGGCGGAAUGCUUUACACAUGCAAGUCGAACGGCAGCACGGACUUCGGUCUGGUGGCGAGUGGCGAACGGGUGAGUAACAUAUCGGAACGUAUCCAAUAAUGGGGGAUAACGAGUCGAAAGAUUCGCUAAUACCGCAUACGCCCUACGGGGGCAAGCUGGGGACCCUCGGGCCUGGCGUUAAUGGAGCGGCCGAUAUCUGAUUAGCUAGUUGGUGCGGUAAAGGCUCACCAAGGCGACGAUCAGUAGCUGGUCUGAGAGGACGACCAGCCACACUGGAACUGAGACACGGUCCAGACUCCUACGGGAGGCAGCAGUGGGGAAUUUUGGACAAUGGGCGCAAGCCUGAUCCAGCCAUUCCGCGUGAGUGAAGAAGGCCUUCGGGUUGUAAAGCUCUUUCGCAAGGGAAGAAAACUUAGCCACUAACAUUGGUUGAGGUUGACGGUACCUUGAUAAGAAGCACCGGCUAACUACGUGCCAGCCGCCGCCGUAA